ACACUUUUAGUUUAAUGGUUAGAACAAUAGUCUUCGAAACUAAGAAUAUGGGUUCGAAUCCUAUAAAGUGUC
rnacentral:tRNA from 1 species